rnacentral:rRNA from 1 species
CGUGGGUAACCUGCCCAAGAGAUCGGGAUAACACCUGGAAACAGAUGCUAAUACCGGAUAACAACAGAUGAUGCCUAUCAACUGUUUAAAAGAUGGUUCUGCUAUCACUCUUGGAUGGACCUGCGGUGCAUUAGCUAGUUGGUAGGGUAACGGCCUACCAAGGCGAUGAUGCAUAGCCGAGUUGAGAGACUGAUCGGCCACAUUGGGACUGAGACACGGCCCAAACUACUACGGGAGGCAGCAGUC